AGAGUUUGAUCCUGGCUCAGAACGAACGCUGGCGGCAUGCCUAACACAUGCAAGUCGAACGAGAUCUUCGGGUCUAGUGGCGCACGGGUGCGUAACGCGUGGGAAUCUGCCCUUGGGUUCGGAAUAACUUCGGGAAACUGAAGCUAAUACCGGAUGAUGACGUAAGUCCAAAGAUUUAUCGCCCAAGGAUGAGCCCGCGUAGGAUUAGCUAGUUGGUGAGGUAAAGGCUCACCAAGGCGACGAUCCUUAGCUGGUCUGAGAGGAUGAUCAGCCACACUGGGACUGAGACACGGCCCAGACUCCUACGGGAGGCAGCAGUGGGGAAUAUUGGACAAUGGGCGAAAGCCUGAUCCAGCAAUGCCGCGUGAGUGAUGAAGGCCUUAGGGUUGUAAAGCUCUUUUGCCCGGGAUGAUAAUGACAGUACCGGGAGAAUAAGCUCCGGCUAACUCCGUGCCAGCAGCCGCGGUAAUACGGAGGGAGCUAGCGUUGUUCGGAAUUACUGGGCGUAAAGCGCACGUAGGCGGCUUUGUAAGUUAGAGGUGAAAGCCUGGAGCUCAACUCCAGAAUUGCCUUUAAGACUGCAUCGCUUGAAUCCGGGAGAGGUGAGUGGAAUUCCGAGUGUAGCGGUGAAAUGCGUAGA
rnacentral:rRNA from 1 species